UUCCGGCUCGCGGUUACUUCCGUCUUAAUGCUCGAAAACCCGGCCUGGACUCACAAAGCCUUCGCUGACUUCUCUCGGUUGAAUCUAAAAGACGGAGCUCGGCGUAGUGGCUUCCGUAUGGGCAGGAAGGUGCUCGCGGGGUUGGGUGCGUCCUGUAAACUCUUGCAUUCCCAACCUGGGCACGUGCUUGGAAAUCCCUAGCGAUCGAGGAAUAAAACAUUUCCUUUUUUUUUUUUUUAAUGCCGGGUUUUAGAAAAUAACCAUGCCUUUUCUCACCUGAAGUCAGAAGAUGGAUCACUUCUGAUCCGUAAGAAUAAAGGAAGCACUGCAUAUCUGAGAUGCUGCUGCUACUGGAUGGAAGAAACGCUGCCCAUCUUCUCUUGAUGGCUUCUCUAAAGUAUGAUAGUGAUGGCUCACUGUGUCAACAGUGGCUGCUCCAGUUGAUAUAAGACUUGUGAAUGAUAGGAAGAAACCUAGAAGCUGCAGUCAGGACCUGCAAAGUUCUCCAAUCACGGCCACUGCCAGAGGCAGCAGGGGGUGCGUAUUUUGAACUAUGAAGAUGUGCAGCCUAAAACAAACACACCGCAAUGACGAACCCACUGUCUCUUCCCUCACGGACCUUCCUAUAUCACGUGGACACAGCGAAUCAACCGAGCCUGAGAGGAGGAAACUUGGUGCAGAAGAAGAUGACCUAAAAUAACUCACAGGCAGGAGCCCAGCACCUCCCUAAACUCCUAGAGAGCCACCAUAGGCACUGCCU